UGGGGAAGGGUGAAACUUCCAGAC
rnacentral:siRNA from 1 species